CCUACGGGAGGCAGCAGUGGGGAAUAUUGGGCAAUGGAGGAAACUCUGACCCAGCGACGCCGCGUGCGGGAUGAAGGCCUUCGGGUUGUAAACCGCUUUCAGCAGGGAAGAAGCGAAAGUGACGGUACCUGCAGAAGAAGCACCGGCUAACUAUGUGCCAGCAGCCGCGGUAAUACAUAGGGUGCAAGCGUUGUCCGGAAUUAUUGGGCGUAAAGAGCUCGUAGGUGGUUCGUCACGUCGGAUGUGAAAAUCUGGGGCUUAACCCCAGACCUGCAUUCGAUACGGGCGAGCUUGAGUAUGGUAGGGGAGUCUGGAAUUCCUGGUGUAGCGGUGGAAUGCGCAGAUAUCAGGAGGAACACCAAUGGCGAAGGCAGGACUCUGGGCCAUUACUGACACUGAGGAGCGAAAGCGUGGGGAGCGAACAGGAUUAGAUACCCUGGUAGUCCACGCCGUAAACGGUGGGCACUAGUUGUGGGGACCUUCCACGGUCUCUGCGACGCAGCUAACGCAUUAAGUGCCCCGCCUGGGGAGUACGAUCGCAAGNUUAAACUCAAAGGAAUUGACG
rnacentral:rRNA from 1 species